rnacentral:rRNA from 1 species
AGUGAACGCUGGCGGUAGGCCUAACACAUGCAAGUCGAACGGCAGCACAGUAAGAGCUUGCUCUUACGGGUGGCGAGUGGCGGACGGGUGAGGAAUACAUCGGAAUCUACUUUUUCGUGGGGGAUAACGUAGGGAAACUUACGCUAAUACCGCAUACGUCCUACGGGUGAAAGCAGGGGAUCUUCGGACCUUGCGCGAUUGAAUGAGCCGAUGUCGGAUUAGCUAGUUGGCGGGGUAAAGGCCCACCAAGGCGACGAUCCGUAGCUGGUCUGAGAGGAUGAUCAGCCACACUGGAACUGAGACACGGUCCAGACUCCUACGGGAGGCAGCAGUGGGGAAUAUUGGACAAUGGGCGCAAGCCUGAUCCAGCCAUACUGCGUGGGUGAAGAAGGCCUUCGGGUUGUAAAGCCCUUUUGUUGGGAAAGAAAAGCAGCAGGUUAAUACCCCGCUGUUCUGACGGUACCCAAAGAAUAAGCACCGGCUAACUUCGUG